GUGCUCGCUUCAGCAGCACUUAUACUAAAAUUGGAAUGAUACAGAGAAAGUUAGCAUGGCCCCUGUGCAAGGAUGACAUGCAAAUUCGUGAAGAGUUCCAUAUUUUU
rnacentral:snRNA from 1 species